GCUGGGCAUAGUGGUGCAUGCUUGCAAUCCCAGUAGCUUGGGAGGCUGAGGCAGGAGAAUCACAAAUCCAAAGUCAGCCUCAGCAAUUUAGUGAGACCUUAAGCAACUUAGUGAGAUCCUGUCUCAA
rnacentral:sRNA from 1 species